CACAAGGCUCUGCGUUAACUCUGGUGGGAAAGAUAUGGAAACAAAACAAACAGAAAAAAGUUGUUUCAUGUAAAAACCAUGGCUAGUGGCCAAUGCUGUUGAUGCUAUUGGAUGCUGGCUGCCAGACUCUCCUCUCCCACCAGGCUUGGGCAGCAUCCAGGCAUGAGGAGCCAGAGUAGGGGGUCAGACUGGAGCCAGAGCCGAGGCCCCAUCCCCCGAGAGCGAGCAGGAAGGGCAGGGAACGUCCAGAUGAGGAGAGGAAGAGGAGUGGAGGAGGAGACAUAAAUGGGACAUAAAGCUCUAAGGCAUCCUGCUGCUCCAAGCCAUCGCCAUUUGUGCAUGCAUUCAGCAAACAUUGUGCCACUGCCAUUCAUUGGUGCCAUUCAGAUCUUGGGACCGCAACAAUUGGACAAAGCACUCCAACACCCACACCCCCCCCCACCAUAUACACACACCAAAGAGAAUGCAUCACCAUCCUGUGUAUGUGUGCUACUCUCUGAAAGUUCACACACGCAAGCAAGCCCCAGCGGUGCAGCACUGUGGUGCUUUGGUCUUGUGGGAGCCAGAAGAGCUUGGUGAGAAUAAUCUUAUCAGCUGAGAACAGACCACCACUAACUUCAACUCACAAACAAAAAUUUGCUAACACAAACACAGAGAAGGCUGAGAGGAUUAUUAGGAAUCUUUUUUAACAGUCUUGCAUUUUCCUUUGUAGACUUUGAGCUUGAAGAUAAAAUUCAAAAUAGUUGUGGCUUCACCAAAAAAGAGAGGGAGAAAGAAAGAUUGGAAGUGAGGGUAAAAAUAAAGCUGAUUUCUGUAUUUUGAUGAGUACUCGCUAAAGAAAAGUAUAAGAAUCUUCACUUCUCAAGCUAUAAAUAAUUGCAGUUACCAUCAGACCAAAACCUUGAAACUCCUUUUUUAAAAAAAACAA